rnacentral:tmRNA from 1 species
CCCCUUUCAUCGGCGGGAGGGGCGGCCUAUAUUCCAAGGGCCGGCGCAAGCCGGCUAUGGCGAUAAACGGUUGUCGGAAUAAGCCUUUCGGACCCGGGGGCGGUACCCGGCGCCUCCACCAGAAUCCAUCGCGCUUCAGCGGGGUGGGUUCCGGCGGGGGCGAAAUAGGAUCGACGAGGGUGUAAAGGGCAUUCUUUUGCUCGGCAUGGUUCCGCCGUCAUCGGGCCGACCUAUAGUUGCGAAUGACAACUAUGCUCCGGUUGCUCAGGCCGCGUGAGCGGUUUGAAAGACCAAAUCAAAGUCCUCCCGGGUAGCACCGGAUAGGCGGGGUUCGGAGGCACCUGGCAACAGAAGCCUCCACU